AUUGAACGCUGGCGGCAUGCUUUACACAUGCAAGUCGAACGGUAACAGGCCGCAAGGUGCUGACGAGUGGCGAACGGGUGAGUAAUGCAUCGGAACGUGCCUAGUCGUGGGGGAUAACUACUCGAAAGAGUAGCUAAUACCGCAUACGAUCUAUGGAUGAAAGCGGGGGACCGUAAGGCCUCGCGCGAUUGGAGCGGCCGAUGUCAGAUUAGGUAGUUGGUGGGGUAAAGGCUCACCAAGCCAACGAUCUGUAGCUGGUCUGAGAGGACAACCAGCCACACUGGGACUGAGACACGGCCCAGACUCCUACGGGAGGCAGCAGUGGGGAAUUUUGGACAAUGGGCGCAAGCCUGAUCCAGCAAUGCCGCGUGCAGGAAGAAGGCCUUCGGGUUGUAAACUGCUUUUGUACGGAAAGAAACGGCUCUGGUUAAUACCCGGGGCUAAUGACGGUACCGUAAGAAUAAGCACCGGCUAACUACGUG
rnacentral:rRNA from 1 species